ACUUAAAGACACACGCAUACUACAACAAAAGAAGCUCGUGUCCGUUUCAAUGUUGAUUUUCGAAGUCGAUUGUUAAUGUAUGCUAUUUAAUUGCCAAGGAACUCUUCCUUCGUUAUUAAACAUAUUUUUUAAAACUUCUCUUUUCUCUCUUGCUAUUUCUGCUGAAUGAUUGCUACCUUGAUUGCCAAUACUCUGUAGGGCAUGUAUUUGGCUCCUCCAUGAACCAGGCUGAAUAUUUCCCUGUUCAUCUUCCCUAUCAACACAAGUAGCGGUGAUGUAUGAAUUUGAUUUCUUUCGUAGCCAAUUAUGAAGGGCACAACAAGCACAAACGAUUGCAUCUACUGUUUCCAAGUUAGUUAGUAUUGGCUUUUCUAAUACCCGGAAUCUACUAACUAAGAUUCCAAAUACAUUUUCGAUUAUCCGUCUUGCCCGAGAUAACCUGUAGUUAAAAACUUUUUCUUCUGUACUGAGGUUAACACCUGGAUACGGCUUCAUUAAAUAAGUCUUUAGUGGAAAUGCCGCAUCUCCUACGAUGACUCCGUUGUCAGGUAAUAAGUUAUUUUCCAGGUCUUGGUAUAUAGAACAAUUCUUAAAAACUCCUCCAUCAGAUGCGCUACCACACGCGCCGACAUCUAUGUACGAAAAACAGUAGUCGUGAUCGGCAAUAGCUAACAAUACGACGCUGCUUGUCUAUACAUAGUAUAAAACAAAGUCGCCCAUUUUGUCUGUAGUCCCUUCGUAUGCAUAAAACUUUAAAACUACGCAACGGAUUUUGAUGCGGUUUUCACUAAUAGAAAGAGUAUUUUCUCCGACAGGUUUUUAUAUAUAAUUGAAAUACAUUGAAACUAUAUUAGCUGAGUUAUAGCGAUUUAUGUCCAAGAAGUCAGAAAAAAAUCUAAUUGAAGAUUGCAUUUGUGCGUGUGCCGCUUAUACCGUUGGAUACAAGUAAGAACAAUCUAUAGCAAAAACAUUGGUCUUUAUUAGUUCUACAAAAAAGUCCGCGAUGACAUAUAUCCAGCUUUUUUAUUUAAGUCACAAAAACUACUUUUCUGUAUUAAAAAAACAUUUAAUUCGUUGGGUGAUGUUUAACUGGUGAUAUAACCAAUAAUACAUAUAUCCUUAUCAUAAUAAGUAAGUUCAUCAUCACGAGCAUUUAAUUUAGAUUAUUUUUGCAGUUUACAGUGUGUUAUUUAGACAUAUAGUUUAGGAGAUAUCACGAUAUUAGUAUUGCGGCACGGUACGGGCCGGCCGCGGCGGCGGGGGCAGCGUCCCUAUAAAUAAUAUUAAAAAGUAGGUACUACGACUUUGAUCUAUACAUAUAAGACAAAAAAAAAUCUGUACAUUACUUAAAUAUUUUUUCCAAAAACUGAUAGGGGGGGCGAUCAAAGAAGAGUCACAGAAACCAAAAAACAUUUUAAUAUUUUAAACGCGGUUAAGGGAAAGAGAAGUUAUUGUGAAUUGAAAAUUAGUAUCCAAUAUGUGUUGGUGCGUUGACUGUAUUUGUCGAAGUAGCGGGAUACACGCAAACGAAGUUGCGCGGGUCAGCUAGUUUUUUUAUAAUUGAAGUAUAAACUUCCACUUUUAGGAGGAGCUUUAAGUGUCACAUGUUUUCCGUCUAUAGAACCAUAACAUAAGGGGAAAUUCCAUCGUUUUUUAAAUCCCCUUUCGAUGUUUUUCCAUUCUUCUGCGUUUGGUACCUGUAAAAAAAGGGUAGUAAUUAAAGCGGUCUAUUUAAUACCAUUUUAAGUCACACCAAAAAAAACUAUAACAUUACAAUAUUACAUUAAUUAAUUUUGUUUAAUUACAGGAUAACAUGGAUACCCCAAAUAGCAAUGAAUCAGGAUUAUCGAAUAGCAAUAAACCAGGACCAUCGUUGGUGCCACGCUCUGAAAAUGGGUUAGAAAAUGAGUCUACAGAAGAGACACCUCGAUUUACCCCACCCACAAAACCUAAGCGGAGCAAGUUAUCACAGAUAUCUAACAUGAUAAAUGACUUAAGGGAAAUUAACGACAACACACGCUACGAAGAAACAGAUCUUGACCUAUAAAGCCAAGUCGUUCAUUUCAAAACAAAUAGGUCUAAGUGCACGAGUUCGAGAUAAGACCACAAAAACAAGAUUUUGAAAUUCAAAAAAUCUAUAACAGAGUUUUAUAUCAGAGAUGAUGUAAGCAGAGCCACCUCUGGCAAACGAGAAUGUAAAACUUUUAAGAAGAACAAACAACAAAUAAGAUUCCUUAAUAAUUCAUUAAAAAUUUUAUACCAAAAGUAGUAAAGUAAGUAGUCAGAAGGUGGCUCUGCAUCUUUUGAAUCUUUCUGCCGGUACAGGCGUCUACGUCAUUUCACCUAACUUAAAUAACAGAAAUACUUGUCUCUGUGUCUAACACAGCAAUAUGAGUUUUAAGUUGGCGGCUCUUAAACAUCACAAAGUGAUUGAUAUUAGUAAUACUCAUGAUCUCCUCAAGAAACUAGUAUGAAAUACUGAAUCAUUCUUAUGUAUGUAUGGCAAAAGGCUAGUAUCCACUAUGAAUAAAUCGGAUGGAUAAGUGUUUACAAUUAAUAUUUAUGAUAUAUAGCUACAAAAAAAUAGAACUAUUUAGAAAAAUAAUAGGCCAAUCAGAAAACGUCACGUCGUGGCAAACAUGGUUGUUUUUGACGUUUUCAUUGAAAAGGACGCGUUGACUACUUCACAUUUUAUUCGUUUUUAGCAUUUUUCUCAAGUUGAUAGUUAUCAUGGAACCAGGUUUUGUUAAAGCCGACAGUAAUAACUUGCCUAGAAUCGACGCAAUUAUGCUUGGCCGAUUUUUCGCGUCAAACAAUGACUUUUGCUCAUCGGAAUUUCGCAAUGUCAAAACUUCGAUGUCAUCACGAGCUUCUUACGGAGAUGACGCCGUAAGCUAUGUGCAGCUUAAGCGAGAAAACAAAUUUUGUACUGUAAAGCUCAAAAUAUGUCCAGAACGCAAAGUUCAUGCCAAAUUAUAUGGAUGUACAUUGGUGGUUGAUGAAGAAGAUGACAUUAUUCUGUCUGUCCAGUGUCAAGACUGUGUAGCAUCACAGGGUGGCUGUAAGCACGCUAUAGCGUUCCUUAUGUGGGUUCAUCGUCGAAGUGAGGAACCAUCAUGCACUUCUGUGGAGUGCUAUUGGAAGAAAUCCAAACUGUCUUAAGUUGGUACUACAAUAAAAUAUAUGACAGCGAAAGAAUUGUCCAAAGGAAAUCCCAUAUUACCAGCAAACCCAUCUGUUUUUAAUAAUUUUUUGGAAGAGGCAAGAAAGAGAAAAGUUGAAGACUGUCAACUUUUAAAAUACCAACCUACUUAUAGUGAAAGUGAAACAUGGGCUAUCUCAAUGCAUCAACUUACUUAUAAGUUUAAAGAAAGAUGCGUUGAAGAUUUUUUGAAGAAAAUUGAAAUAACAGCAUCUUUAAUCAAGAAAGUGGAAGAGGAAACAAGAGAACAGUCUAAUAGCGCUCUGUGGUUUGAUCUGAGAUACGGUCGAAUAACUGCUUCUAGAGCAUUUGAAGUAAGCCGAUGCAAAACAAGUGACGGCACACUCAUUUCCCUCAUACUAGGUGGUAAAAUUCCUUAUACUCCGGCCAUGAAACGUGGCCGUGUUCUAGAAAAUGAAGUAAGAAAAACAGUUGACAACAAAUUAAAAAAAAAGUUAGUAAGUGUGGCCUCUUGUUAAAUUCUAGGUACCCAAUGAUUGCUGGUUCACCAGACGGAAUUUUCGAAGAUGGGAUAGUUGAAAUGAAGUGUCCUAUUAGUAAAAUAACAUAUAAAAAUUAUAUAAAAAAUGGACUGGCUACAGAAAAAUAUUAUGCCCAAAUGCAGCUUCAGAUGUAUUUAUCACAAAAGAAAAACUGUUGCUUUUGUGCAGCUGACCCAGACUUUUGUAAAAAUAAAAAAAUGGAUAUAAUAAAUAUAGAAUUUGAUCCUCAAUAUGUUGAGAAUUUUAUCAAUAAUAAGUUAUUAAACUUUUGGAAAAUUAAUAUAUAUCCUUUAUUAUAUCAGAGUGUAGAGUGAGUAUGUUUGGAUUUUAAAGAAAAGAAACAUUUUAAAUUAGUUAUACUGGGUGUCUGGUGGCAGAUUUAUGAUUUUUAAAUUCGAUUAUUUCGAAAAGUAAUAAACGGUGCGGGUUGAGGGUAGUGUUGUUAGAAUUAGUAGCCGUGCGGAUUUCUG